GAGCGGCGAGGAGGAGGAGCCCGGGAGGAGAGCGAGGAGGGCGAGGCGGGGGAGGGGGCCGGAGGGAAGCGCUGGCUAGGAACCGAGGGCUCCUCGCUAAAGUGCCCUCAACGCCGGGAAGCGUCCACAGGACCCGGUGCCGGGAGACGGCUAGGAGGCCGCUCAGGGAAGCACGACGACUUCAACGAUGACGCAAGAGUCAUGCAAAAUUAUACAUAUAUAUUGAAAGUCCACCCGGAAGGCAAGAGCCAUCCUAUCGGCCUCUAAGUGCACAAGGGAACUAGAAAUCAAAGAGAAAGAAAGGCCAAGAGGAUUAAAAAAAAUAAUUUAGAAGGCGUCCGGAGUGGGGGUGGGGGUCCUGAGCUGGAAGGCAGGGACUCCUGGUUUAUUGCUUAGUCUCCCCCACCACCCCCACACCUUUCACAGCACGAGCUUGAAUCAUUUUCUAUAAAACUGGUGACUAAGAGAGAGACAGCGUGUCGAACCGUUGAAGCACCCCCAACCAGCCAGAAAAGGGACUCCGGUCGCCGCAAAUGUACCUGUGCUCCCCCUGGAGGUGACAUUCUCCUAGGCCCCCUUUAGGUCUUAAGUGUCCCUCCUAGGGGAUUCUGUUGUGAUGUCUGAGAAGUGAUACCCUCACGUGCCUGUGAUCCAAGCAGCAUCCCCCGCCCCUCUGUCUGGCAUAGCAAGAAAACACCCGUCUGGCCAGGUCUGGUUCUCCAGCCAACACUGCUGCUUUGAACAUUGGGAAGUGGAGAUGUGACUUCUCUUUGUCAAACUCUGUGCCCAUUGCGUGUGCAUCUACCCAGAGGGGUGACACUGCAUAGCAAGAGAUGAAGGCAGUACUGAGGCAAGCAGUGGUCGCAAAAGCAAGGAUGUGAUGGAUGGACGAGACAAGAAUUUGCAGUGCAAAUUGCCUUGUUCUGCACCCAGCCACUGUCCUGGGGAGUUGUUGGUUUAUCUCUCCGGAACACCACCAUUUGCUUCUGCUCAGUGUUCUUUCUGAUUUCAUCUCUGUAAUUGUGUGGUUUACAUGGAAGCUGCUCCUUAUACUUCUUGCCCUGAUACCUGUGGAUUGGCCCUAGGAGAGUACUAAUGUAAGAUGAGAUAAGCAAAACCCUUUCCUGAACAUUUUGAAUUUGAGAUUCACAAGAGUGUCCUCUCUGUUACAACUAAACUGGAUAAUGUGGCCCUGGAAGAUGUUGGCCAUUCAUGAAAUAGCCAAAUAGCCAAGAAAAUGAAACUAAAUUACAAAAAGAAGUAAAGAUGGAAAGAUGACCGAGGGUUGUGGCUCAGUGGUAGAGUGCUCAUCUAGCAAGUGAGAGGCACUGGGUUCAAUCCUUAGCACCACAUAAAAAUAAAUGAAAUAAAGGUAUUAUGUCCAUCUACAACUUUAAAAAAAUUAAUAAAGGAAAAAAUCUUGCCCAAAGUUACACAGCUAUUUCAAAAUGAUUUGUCGUCAAAGCUCAUACUGCUUGCCUUGUUCUAUACUGAUCAGGGACCAAAAAUUUUUGUAGGAAAGUAGCAAGUUCGUGUCUGUCAUUUGAGAACAUUCUGGGACUGAAGUAUAGAUGUGGAAAGUAGGAGAGUGAUGCGGAGAGAGAUCAUGUGAGUCUGAACCAAGCAUGGCCAUGAACAGGAAGAGGAGAGCAUGGGUUUCAGUUGUAUUUAAAUGAUAGAAUUCAUAGGGUUUCAUCACAGUGUGGAGAGGGUUUUCAUUACUACCUUCAUUACCACACUUCCAGGAGGACUGUUUCUUGACCCACUUAUUGAACAAAAGCCUGGGACUUUCUGUGAUCAUAUCAACUUCGUUCAUCCCUAAACCAAUCAUGGUGGCCAGCAAAAAGUCAGGUGGCUGUUGCCUUAGGCUAGGGGUACUGUCCAUCCCUAAACUCAUCAUGGUGACAAUUGGUCCUGAUUUGGUCCAUUAGUCAUUUCCACCCAGGCAUGAGAUUUCAUUCCUAUCCAGAUUCUAUGGUUCUUGCAAACGGGGUGACAGGUGUGUGCUGGGGGGCAUCUAUGCUGGGGAGGCAACCAGCAAUAUCCAUUAUACCUAGAUGUUGCCCACCUUUCAAUGUAUCUCCCCCCACCUAGCUACAAUGGAAAUAAAGGAUCUGAGGAGGAAGCCGAUGUCAAGGUAAGAAGGAUCCAUGUCAAAUCCAUGGUUUGUUCCAGAUAUCAGCCAGUUUUUCAGUACUGGAGUCCAUGCAGUCUCCAAAUCCCUCAUUCUAAGUCUACCUCCUCUUCUCUCUCUGGCCCUCCUUCUUAGAGAUUAUUGAUGAGUAAAUAAAAUGAAUAUCACCAUU